UACGUAGGGCGCAAGCGUUAUCCGGAAUUAUUGGGCGUAAAGAGCUCGUAGGCGGUUGUCGCGUCUGCCGUGAAAGUCCGGGGCUCAACUCCGGAUCUGCGGUGGGUACGGGCAGACUAGAGUGGAUGUAGGGGAGACUGGAAUCCUGGUGAGCGGUGAAUGCGCAGAUAUCAGGAGGAACACCGAUGGCGAAGGCGGUCUCUGGGCAUUAACUGACGCUGAGGAGCGAAAGCAUGGGGAGCGAACAGG
rnacentral:rRNA from 1 species